CGGGAGUCAACGAAGCAAGGACUCAACCCUUUGGGAAAGAAGGAAGCUGCUGUGGAGAAUUUCCUCUCCAUCGCAACAGCUAACUCCAAAGCAGAGAAACAGCGACAAUUGCAACUUCUGGCAAGAGAUAAAAGAAGCUUACUCUUACCAAUGGGGACAAGCUCUGACUCCAAAAGAAUUAUUGUGCAUACAGUAAAGAGAUGGGACAUUGGAUCAAGGACCAACACACCCCCACCCCAAAAAAACAGAGAGGGUCAAGCAAAAGUGAUGGAAAUAGAGGAGCUAAGUGACUAGAGGAGAUAGGGUUCGGUCCCUCUCCCUGGACCUAGAGUAACCAUUAAAGUGGAGAGGAAAUCCACCAAAUUCUUAGUAGAUAUAAGAGCCCAAUCUGGUUCUCACAGAGACUUAGUGCAAGUCCUCUGGCUACCCAAGAAGUUGGCAAUUGUACAUUGCUCCAGCCAUCAAGAGGCAACUAGAGGGCACAUGUAGCCUCAAAGGCCACCACCCCUAAUUCCUUGCCAACUUUGGCCUUUCAGUUGCCAGAUCCUAUAUUCUAAGGAGAACAUUGCUUCUAUCAGAAAUAAAUUACCUAUGUCUCACAAGCCCAGAGGCUAGGGCAUGACAGGCGUCUAUAAGCUAAACUUGCUUGACACCCUCACUUGGGACUUGCUCCAGCACAUUCAUGAGAUGACCCACCUGGGUACAAGGAAAACAGAACUCAUUCGACAUGUGAAUUUAAAAAUUAUUCAUCUAAGAUCUUUGAUAGAACAAAUUGCCUCCAAGUGCCUUACCUGCAAGUUUACCAAUGUGGGCAAUCAGCCCAAAGAAAAGGGCUCCUGACAGAGAGGCGCCAAACCGGAUGCCCACUGGGAAAUGAACUUCACUAAGGUAAAACCAGGCAAAUAUGGAUACAGAUAUUUAUUAGUACUUGUAGAUACUUUUUCAGGAUGGACUGAGGCCUUCCCUACUAAACAUGAAACUGCUUAGACAGUGAUCAAGAAGAUUAGAAGAUAUCCUUUCCAGGUAUGGUAUAGCUGUCAUGCUGAGCUCUGAUAAUGGACCUGCCUUCACCGCUCAGGUAACCCAGAGAAUGGCCAAGGCCAUAGGGGUGGGUUGGAAAUUACAUCGUGCUUAUAAGCCCCAAAACUUUGGACAGGUAGAGAGGAUGAAUAGAACUCUAAAAGAGACCCUUACCAAAUUGACCAUAAAGACUGGUGGGACUGGGUGGUUCUUCUCCCUUUCACCCUCUAUAGGGUCAGGAACACAUCUUACACGUUGAGCCUAACCCCCUUUGAGAUCAUAUAUGGGAGGCCCCCUCCCAUAAUUCCUAACCUGAAAUUAGAAGUAUUAACUGAGUUUGCUAGUAAACAAAUUCUUGACUUUCUUGAGACUCUUGCUCACAUGCAGAAGGAGCUGUGGCCCCACCUACCUUGCAUAUCUGCCAGCCUGGUGAUUGGGUGUUCACCAAGUGAUAUCAAAGACAAUCCUUGGAAUCACGUUGGAAAGGACCAUAUAUAGUUGUGCUGACUUCUCCCAUUGCUCUCUCUCAAAGUUGACAGGAUUGUUACUUGGAUUCAUCACACCCAUGCUUGCCUAGCAACCCUCAUUCAGAUCUGGAGGAUGUCACACCCUAACAGACAUCCAUCUAAAACUCAAUGUUCCUAGGUUUGUUUCUUGUUCUAGCUUCUUCCACCUUUCCAGAUACCAACCCACGUCGGCCUUGGAAUUUGAGUCCUAAGCGAUGCAUUCACUGGAACAUCCCCGCCCAGUCAAAUAAGACAGUUCCCCUUGGAACCUGGUUCUCCAAUCUUACCUUCAAUCUCAAAUCAUUAAUUCAGAAUGGCAGGGUAGACAGCUUUAUCCACAAACUCCAUUUUUAUGUUUGUCCAGGCCAUAAGAACAAGAUAAAAACUUGGAGGGACAAGUGUGGGGGUGCCAAGGGAUAUUUCUGUAAGUCUUGGGACUGUGUGAGCACAGAACGCCUUUGGUGGAUGGCCUCAAUUCCAGAUGACCUCAUAAUGGUAGUUUGAAAUCCUGGGGGACUUCCUGUGAUAAAAUAUAUUUUCAUACUGGGGUGUGGGACAGACCCUGUAUGUAGUCCAAUACUUGUUUGCUUUAUGGAAGAAAGGAAAAAGGGUACAGAUUGGGAGGCAGGGAAGUCUUGGGGCCUAAGGAUUUAUACCAAUGUUCACAGAUGAUGUGGGUGCUCUUUCUACUAUAAAAUUAAAUAGACAAGUGUUCCAAUCCACUUCAUUUGGUAUGGGACUGUAGUGGCUAUUCCUGGUUGUCAACUUGACAAUAUUUGGAAUGAACUACAAUCCGGAAUUGGAAGGCUCACCAGUGACCCUUAUCUGGAGGCUUGGAGAUCCUUAUCUGGAUCUUGGUUUGAAGAUCUUGAGCCAUAGUGGCUAUGGAUUCCAGAAGAUUGAAUCUCUGAGUUUAAGGAACACACCUUUAAUCCGGGCUACGCCUUUCAUCUGGGAUUAAAGGUGUGGUGGAACACACCUUUAAUCUGGGCUCCACCUUCUGCUGGAGACAAUAUAAGGACAUUGGAAGAAGGGAGUCUAGCUCUUGCUCCUGCUCCUUCGCCUGCUUGCUGCGUGAGACUGAGUAACUGCUAGAUCCUUGGACUUCCAUUCACAGCGGCGACUGAAUCAUUGUUGGGAAUUGGGCUGCCGACUGUAAGUCAUCAAUAAAUUCCUUUACUAUCUAGAGACUAUCCAUAAGUUCUGUGACUCUAGAGAACCCUGACUAAUACAGGGACCCAAUCCAAUAAUGGCUCCACCAAACCCUGCACAUAAUCCUCUUACACCAAGUCCCAGUUCGGAUACCCAAACAUCAGGCAAUCAGACCAAUGAAGAGCCAAACCUCUUCAAUUUGCUGGAAGCUAUUUAUGAGGUUCUAAAUGUUAACCACAGUGAAUGAACUUCUGAUUGCUGGCUAUGCCUAAGUGCUAAGCCCCACCCCCAGGGUCAAGGACUAUGCAUAGGUCACCAAGUACCCCAGUGGUACUCACACCUUUGUGUUCAGACUGUUCUGUGGGACUACUGAAAUGGUUAUUAUUUAGUUCUGCCAGAAGAUGCCUGGUGGGCCUGUUCAACAGGUCUAACCCCUUGCAUCCACACUUUAAGAUGUAUCUAUUUCUUAUGUGUGUGAGUACACUGUAGCUAUCUUCAGACACACCAGAAGAGGGCAUCGGAUCCCAUUACAGAUGGCUGUGAGCCACCAUGUGGUUGCUGGGAAUUGAACUCAGGGCCUCCAGCCCCACAUGGAGGCUCUUCAUGCCUCCUCUGACUUCUAAGUCCUACUUAAGCCAGUCCCUAGGGUCUUACUAUUCCUGAGAAGUAGUUUUCAGCCACCUCCCUCCGAGUCCUCACAGCACGUUUAAGAGGGAACCCCUUACAGCUCUCUAUCAUUUUGCCAACCCUCCUAGGCAUCGGCAUCACAGAAGCUAUAUAACAGGGGUCACUGCUUUGGUAUUACAUGAUGCACACUACUGCUCCUUAUGAGGGGCCAUUGAUGGAGAUGUCCAAAGAUUAGAAAAACCGAUGACAGCCCUCGAAAAGCCAAUCUCUUUCGUAGCCGAAGUGGUUUGCAAAGAGGCUUAGACUUCCCACAAGGAGGGAUUUGUGUAGCCCUAUGAGAAGAAUGCUGUGUGUAUGCAGGUUACACGGGAGUUGUCAGAGAAAACAUGGCCGAAUUAAGAGAUGGCAGAACAGGCAGCUAGAAGGAGAACAUUCUAUGGGGUCGUAUGAAAGUUUAUUCAAGGGGUCCCCCUGGCUAACUACACUGGAUCUUCUGUGACUUGGACACUUAUUAUAUUACUCCUGUUACUGUUGGACCCUGUAUUCUUAUUAAGUUAACUUUGUCAAAGACUGAGUCAAUACUGUCCAACUUAGGCCUCAUUAUCAAUUAUUAAACCUUGAGGUCAUGGUAACUACUCAAGCCCCAUGAUUGGGCCCUCUUAGGUACUUGUGAAGGGGGGAAUGAAGGGCCCAUUCAGCUAAUUCUGUUUUGUGUUCACACUCCAUCUUAUACCCAGCUUGUCCUCAGUUUGAACUUGGUAACUGGAAAAAACCACAGCUUAUUCCAGGAAUGAAGAUACCCCCACCCCCCAAGUAACUGCCACUCCACGCUUGAUAUGGGAAAUGCCCAGUGUAAUUUCCAGGGCUAAUGAGUUAACCACAAUUAAAUAUGUAUAGCAAAGUUUAUGAUGCUAGCUAAAUUUUUUAUGCAACGUAUGCUUUCUGAAGUGUCAUCCAAUCAUGUAACUGUCAGGUUGGAAAGCCCUUACCCAGUUUAAACUGUAUGAAAGGCAAGGCUGACACCAGCUCAGCACCUUCCAUACCCAUCCACUCCAUUGGAGAGGCUGGAGGGUCUGAGAAUGAGCUUUUGAAUAAAGAAUCUCUGCUUCUGCAUA